ACCUGCUCUUUCCACAUGGGCAGGUCUUGUACAGAUGGAACAGGCAAAGCAGCACAUCCGUCAUUGAAACAAAUAAAACAUCAGUGGAGCUUUCUUUACCCUUCGAUGAAGAUUACAUCAUAGAGAUCAAGCCAUUCAGUGAUGGAGGAGAUGGCAGCAGCAGCGAGCAAAUCCGAAUCCCAAAGAUAUCAAAUUCCUAUGCAAGAGGAUCUGGGGCUUCUACCUCCAAUGCGUGUACAUUGUCAGCUAUCAGCACAAUAAUGAUCUCCCUCACAGCCAGGUCUAGUUUAUGACAAAAGUUAUUUAAAGGACUUGCUAUUUAUAAUAUAAGCAACAUUUAGCUAGUUGUUUUGAAGACACCCAGUACUAAGUAAUAUUGUUGUUCAAGUACAUCUUAUUACUGGAAAAAAAAUGUUUUUUGCUUCGUUAGGAAUGGCAUUAUACAAUACUUCCUCAAAGCAAAUCUAGCUUUGUCUGAAGUUUCUUGGGAAACUCUGCAAUGCACUGAAAACAUCUGUAAUAUGAUGUUACCAAAGCAGUUUACAUAUGUCCUUAUAUGCAUAUUUUUUAUUAUAUAUUUAGUGUUUUAUAGAAUUUUUUAAAGUUAACAUAUAAUGUAGAUAUUGGGUUUUUUUUUUCCUCUGCUGUAAAAUGUUCUGGGCAACACAACCACACAAUUAUGAUUUGAGACGAUUUCCUUUAUGGACAGAGUUUGAAACUCAUCUCAGUAAAUGAAUCACAAAUGACUUGUACAGUUUUACAAGGAUCUAGGGACAGAACAGCUGGAGCCUGGGUUUGUAAGGAAAGGCUGCUGUACAUAACUUACUCCUUGACUGGUUAAUGCAUUGAAUUGAGUCCCUUUGACAUAUGUGAUAUGUUUUCCCACCCUGUUGUGAAUUUUGUUGUUCAACACAACUUGAGAUGGUUUCAGGAACUACAAAUCUCUAAAACCAAUCUUCCCAGAUCAAGAGGCACCUUGUGCAAUCCUCCCAUCCCUGAACUUAGCAUCGUGUGGUAAGACUUUAUUUGAGCAUCAUCUUUGUAGUAGCAUUAUCUUAGGCACUGAAUUUGAAGUUACAUACCCUGUAGUAACAGAGACAAAACGUUACUAUAGUCAAACAAGUCUUUCAUGGCAUAAAAGGUAAUUUUACUCUUUAGACAUAUCUGUUUUGAAUGUAAAUUUUUUAAUGAAUAAUUCUGUCAAUGAGUUUAUAAUUUCAAAUCUUCUUAUAGAUAACAUGAGUAACUGUAAUGAUAGAGUCCUUCUUUUGAAUGACAAUAACAUAUGUAAUUUGAAAAAAUUUCCUAUUUCAGCAAGUAGCUGCUGCAAAGAAUUUUACAUAUGACUCUAUAAACUUUCAAUAGUACAAAUGAAUUGUAUCUUGAUGUCUCCCCUGUUUUGCAGUAGCUAGUCUGGUUGCUUCUAAGCUUUACAUAAAUCUUAAAAUCAUACAGUGAAAGAUGGCAAUAUUGAUAAAACCUCAUUCUUAUGAACAGAACUCUUUGUUAUGAUGGGGGAUGUUUUGUAAGCUGACAAGAGUGGAACAGAGAAGGCAAUGAGAUUUUCUAUAACACUUCUGACAUUCAAACACAGAGUCACCUUUUUCUUCUUUCUUGGAGAGCUCAUGAUUGCCUGUAACUUGUCAUUUUUGCUUACACAUAACAUAGCUUUUCAACCUUCUAAUUAUAUUCAUUCAAUAAUGUUAUAAUCAGGAUUACAUUUGUGUGAAAAUUAGGAUGGUAACAGGGAAAAUAUUGUCAGUAUUUCAGCUGCGUUCCUUUCUUAGUUUGAUAUGCUUUACUUCUAUGUUAAAAUAUGAUUUAAAAAUCAUAUGCAAAAAAUCAACAUAAUAAUAAAAUGAAUGAAAAAAACCUGAUACCCCAGGUAGUUUCCAACCCCAGUGUAAAUGAUAUCUACCAGUGAUCUAGCAUAUGUAAUCUUUUUUAAAAAUAUUGUUAAUAAAUAUUCUGUCAUUUGUAAAGA